rnacentral:rRNA from 1 species
GCAUAUCAAUAAGCGGAGGAAAAGAAACUAACAAGGAUUCCCCCUAGUAACGGCGAGUGAAGAGGGAAAAGCUCAAAUUUAAAAGCUGUUGUCUUUCAGGCAACCGCAUUGUAAUCUCAAGAAGUGUUUUCGAUUGUAGCCUGCGUAUAAGUACCUUGGAAUAGGUUGGCAUAGAGGGUGAAACUCCCGUCUUUGAUGCAGAUUACUAUGAUCAUGUGAUACACUUUCUAAGAGUCGAGUUGUUUGGGAAUGCAGCUCAAAAUGGGUGGUAAAUUCCAUCUAAAGCUAAAUAUUGGCCUGAGACCGAUAGCGAACAAGUACCGUGAGGGAAAGAUGAAAAGCACUUUGGAAAGAGAGUCAAACAGAACGUGAAAUUGCUGAAAGGGAAGCGUUUGAAGUUAGUCUGAUAGGAGUUGUUCAAUUGUUACUUUGGUUUCAAUGUAUGCAACUUUUUAUCGGUCAACAUCAAUUUUGAUUGAUGGAUAAAGGUAAUAGGAAUGUGGCUACAAUUUGUAGUGUUAUAGCCUAUUAUCAUAAACAUUGAUUGAGAUUGAGGACGGCAGUGUACCUUUUAGGAAGGUGUUCGCACCUAUUACACUAAGGAUGUUGACAAAAUAGCUUUAAGCGACCCGUCUUGAAACACGGACCAAGGAGUCUAACAUAUCUGCGAGUAUUUGAGUGACAAACUCGAAUGCGUAAUGAAAGUGAAUGUAGGUGUGAAGCGUAAGCUGCAACAUCGACCGAUCUGGAAUUUUUAUAAUGAUGGAUUUGAGUAAGAGCAUAUAUGUUGGGACCCGAAAGAUGGUGAACUAUGCCUGAAUAGGGUGAAGCCAGAGGAAACUCUGGUGGAGGCUCGUAGCGGUUCUGACGUGCAAAUCGAUCGUCAAAUUUGGGUAUAGGGGCGAAAGACUAAUCGAACCAUCUAGUAGCUGGUUUCCUGCCGAAG